rnacentral:rRNA from 1 species
AGAGUUUGAUCCUGGCUCAGAUUGAACGCUGGCGGCAUGCCUAACACAUGCAAGUCGAACGGUAACAGGUCUUCGGAUGCUGACGAGUGGCGGACGGGUGAGUAAUGCGUAGGAAUCUGUCUUUUAGUGGGGGACAACCCAGGGAAACUUGGGCUAAUACCGCAUGAGCCCUGAGGGGGAAAGCGGGGGUCGUUCGGACCUCGCGCUAAGGGAAGGAGCCUACGUCUGAUUAGUCUAGUUGGUAGGGUAAAGGGACCUACCAAGGCGACGAUCAGUAGCUGGUC